UAUAAUCAUAAGGGAUUUUAUUUAGGUCAUACCUGAAUGGUAUAGGGGUUUCCCUACUUUCUUCAAUUUAAGUCUGAAUUUGGCAAUAAGGAGUUCAUGAUUUGAGCCACAGUCAUCUCUAGUCUUGUUUUUGCUGACUGUAUAGAGCCUCUCCAUCUUUGGGUGCAAAGAACAUAAUCAAU